rnacentral:tRNA from 1 species
GCGGGCGUAGUCCAAUGGUAGAAUGCGAGCUUCCCAAGCUUGAGACGAGGGUUCGAUUCCCUUCGCCCGCACCA